rnacentral:rRNA from 1 species
UACGUAGGGUGCGAGCGUUAAUCGGAAUUACUGGGCGUAAAGCGUGCGCAGGCGGCUUCGCAAGUCAGGCGUGAAAUCCCCGGGCUUAACCUGGGAAUGGCGUCUGAAACUACGGAGCUGGAGUGUGGCAGAGGGAGGUAGAAUUCCACGUGUAGCGGUGAAAUGCGUAGAGAUGUGGAGGAAUACCGAUGGCGAAGGCAGCCUCCUGGGCCAACACUGACGCUCAUGCACGAAAGCGUGGGGAGCAAACAGG